GCCAGGGUGGCGUAGUGGUCAGCGCGUCUGCCAAGCGAGCAGGAAGUCCAGGUUCGAAUCCUGGCCUUGGUA